rnacentral:lncRNA from 1 species
GCUUACACCCCUAAUUACAGGUUUAGUGGGUAUGAAUGCUUUUGGCCAUGCUGAUUGUUUCUUCUGGUUCUUCAUGCGUUGAAUUUAAAUUCUAGCUUUGAAUUACUUGUGAUUCUGGUUCUAAAAAGUUGUGGGGCUUUCUGUCUUGAAGCUUUUUACCUGUGUUUUAAUCUUUUGUGACUGUUUCUUAGUCAACUCCUACUACUGCUUGAAUUUCUAGACUUUAAGUUCUUGCUCAACUUGUUGAUUCGGUUGUCUUUGUUGGUCUUGGAAUUGUUGUUUGCUGUUGUUGUGCUCUUUCUCGACUGCCUCUGAUUUUAGAUUGCUUGGUGCUUUUUCUGGUUUGAUCUCUUGUUCAGUGUUUAAGGCUAAUUUUCACUGCCUAUGUGUGCUGGCUUCA